GAUGAACGCUGGCGGCGUGCUUAACACAUGCAAGUCGAACGUGAGGGGGUACUUGUAUCCCUGAAAGUGGCGGACGGGUGCGUAACACGUAGGAACCUGCCCUGGAACGGGGGAUAACCACGGGAAACUGUGGCUAAUACCGCAUGAGCUUGAAGUAACGGGAGUGCUUCAAGCAAAAUUCAGGUGUUCUGGGAGGGGCCUGCGGCCGAUUAGCUAGUUGGUGGGGUAAAGGCCUACCAAGGCGAUGAUCGGUAGCUGUUCUGAGAGGAAGACCAGCCACACGGGAACUGAGAGACGGUCCCGACUCCUACGGGGGGCAGCAGUGAGGAAUAUUGCACAAUGGGGGAAACCCUGAUGCAGCAACGCCGCGUGAAGGAUGAAGGCUUUCGAGUUGUAAACUUCUUUUCUGGGGGAAGAGGAAGGACGGUACCCCAGGAAUAAGACAUGGCUAACUACGUGCCAGCAGCCGCGGUAAUACGUAGGUGUCGAGCGUUAUCCGGAAUUACUGGGCGUAAAGGGCACGCAGGCGGCUGCUCAAGUCUGACGUGAAAACUCCCGGCUUAACCGGGAGAGGCCGUUGGAAACUGAGUAGCUUGAGGCAAUGAGAGGGAUGCGGAAUUCCAGGUGUAGUGGUGGAAUGCGUAGAUAUCUGGAAGAACACCAGUGGCGAAAGCGGCAUCCUGGCAUUGACCUGACGCUGAGGUGCGAAAGCGUGGGUAGCGAACGGGAUUAGAUACCCCGGUAGUCCACGCUGUAAACGAUGUGAACUAGGUGUAGGUGGUAUUGACCCCAUCUGUGCCAAAGCUAACGCGAUAAGUUCACCGCCUGGGGAGUACGGCCGCAAGGCUAAAACUCAAAGGAAUUGACGGGGGCCCGCACAAGCAGCGGAGCGUGUGGUUUAAUUCGAUGCGACGCGAAGAACCUUACCUGGGCUUGACAUGUACCUAGUAGUGAACCGAAAGGG
rnacentral:rRNA from 1 species